UUGCCUUCCUUGCCACUAGUCUCAUCGCCAUCUUGGAUGCAGUGACAAGUGUACAUGGUGUUUCGUCGCUCCGCAUAAUUACAGAUUUUCAAGAAUUCCGGAGCUACAGUACAAAGCGUCGAAUAUUUCCAGUGUUUACUGGAAUUUAUUGGAUUUAUUUCUUCGAUACAUUUAUUCGAUAGGUAUAUCUAUAUACAUGUAUUUGUAUACGCUACACUGUACGCAGUAUUUGAGAAGUACCAACAAUAGACAAUCAAAGGACGACCAAGAGGACGACUUUCUUAGUUCAUUUCUACACACUCUUCGUUUGUAUCAGCUGUCCGUCCAGACGUGUUCAAACUUGUUUCUGCUUCUUCAAUUUUGGUUCCUCUAAUUUCUCAUUUACAUUAUAUAUAAUAUUUUAUAAUCUUAAUUUAAUCAUUAACAGCUUAUCAAUCUUAUUUUCUAUCCUAUUAGAUUGCGAUAUAUAAUAUAGCAUUUAUAUGUUGAAUAUGCAAAUCACAUUUACGUGCAUAAUCUUAUUCUCUAUUAAUAAUAGUUUGAAUAUUUUCAAGUAAUUAUUCAU